GUAGUCAUAUGCUUGUCUCAAAGACUAAGCCAUGCAUGUCUAAGUAUAAAUAACUACACAGUAAAACUGCGAAUGGCUCAUUACAACAGUUAUUGUUUAUUUGAUACAUAAAAUGGAUAACUGUAGAAAAACUAGAGCUAAUACAUGCUAUAACCGCAAGGUUGUAUUUAUUAGAUAUUCCAAAUUGGUGAAUCAUAAUAACUUCGCAAAUCUCGUUUAUGACGAGAUAAAUCAUCCAAGUUUCUGCCCUAUCAUGCUUUCGAUGGUAGUGUAUUGGACUACCAUGGCUCUCACGGGUAACAGGGAAUUAGGGUUCGAUUCUGGAGAAGGAGCCUGAGAAACGGCUACUACAUCUACGGAAGGCAGCAGGCGCGUAAAUUACCCAAUCCUGACUCAGGGAGGUGGUGACAAGAUAUAACAACGCGAUAUUAUCGCGAUUGUAGUGAGGGUAUUCUAAACAGAACCUAUAGUACGAUUAGAGGGCAAGUCUGGUGCCAGCAGCC
rnacentral:rRNA from 1 species